rnacentral:rRNA from 1 species
CCCUUAGACGUUCUGGGCCGCACGCGCGCUACACUGACGAAGGCAACGAGCUUUCCUUUACCGAAAGGUACGGGUAAUCUUUUGAAACUUCGUCGUGCUGGGGAUAGAUCCUUGCAAUUUUUGAUCUUAAACGAGGAAUGCCUAGUAAGCGCAAGUCAUCAACUUGCGUUGAUUACGUCCCUGCCCUUUGUACGCACCGCCCGUCGCUACUACCGAUUGAAUGGUUUAGUGAGGCCUUCGGAUCCGCGACUCGUUUGUGGAGAAGUUGGACAAACUCAGUCAUUUAGAGGAAGUAAAAGUCGUAACA